rnacentral:lncRNA from 1 species
CCCUUACCCUUCUACCUCCUCGAAUCACUGUCACAAAGGACUGUUUUCGUGGUGGGGGAGCCCCAAAUAUCUACUGGGGCAAGGCUUUAUAGAAAGCUACAAGCAAGGCCAAGUUCACAGUGGAGACUGACCACCACAUGUGAGUUUAUUUUGCCUCACCAGUUCAGGUCACAGUUCACGGUGGCCCCAUGGUGUCCACAGUCAGGAAGCAAAGAGAGAUGGAUGCUUGUGCUCAACCCAACCUCUCCUUUUUAUCCAGCCUUGGAUCACAGCCCACUUCAUGAUGGAGCAACACUGGGUCAUCACCCAAGUGCCAGGCACAUGCAGCCACCCAGUUUUGGACUUUCAGCUUCUAGGACUGUAUCCCAUGUAAGCCUCUUUAUAAAUUAUCCAGCCUCAAGUGCUCUGUUAUAGCAACAGUAACCAACUAAGACCCCAUAACUCCAGCAACUAAUACUUAAUGAAUAAUUGCUGACUUAAUCUCUCAUCACUUGUAUUCUAUAAAGUUCUUUGUACAAUC